rnacentral:rRNA from 1 species
UACGUAGGGUGCGAGCGUUGUCCGGAAUUACUGGGCGUAAAGAGCUCGUAGGUGGUUUGUCGCGUUGUUCGUGAAAUCUCACGGCUUAACUGUGAGCGUGCGGGCGAUACGGGCAGACUUGAGUACUGCAGGGGAGACUGGAAUUCCUGGUGUAGCGGUGGAAUGCGCAGAUAUCAGGAGGAACACCGGUGGCGAAGGCGGGUCUCUGGGCCACUACUGACGCUGAGAAGCGAAAGCAUGGGGAGCGAACAGG